CGACGAUAGCUCAGUUGGCAGAGCAUCGGACUGAUAAUCCGACGGUGGUGGGUUCGAUUCCCACUCGUUAACCA
rnacentral:tRNA from 1 species